CUCAGUCCAACCGUGCGGAUAAUUAUCAGAGCUACAGUUCUUUCGCGUCAUUAAUCCCACCGGAGUGUACAGUGCAGUGGAGAUAGGACACCAGAUGGUGCAUACGGUGCCCUGCUUGAGGUGUGCGCGGUGAUGGAAGUUUUUAUAUCUGUUUUAAACCUCCUGAGCAUGAUGGUGCAGCAAGUGUAAACUGCUCCUGAGAUCGGCCUUUCUUUAAACCAGCAUGACUUGGAAUGGUGCAUACGUCUGUCUGGCUGGUGAUGCAGUGGUGUGGUCUACAUGUCAAGGGCGUGCUAAGCAGCGGGGUGGCCAGCAUGGCGCUGGUAGACUUUGACCCCAUCUGUCCGGACAGUAUGUGUCGUUCUGCGGACGCCGAGGGAUACACAUCCACACGGUCAUCACACCCACAGAACAAUAGGCUAAGUAGGGUAGAAUAAAUGUAAGUACACUUUUAAUUCACUCCAUUUUAAUGUUUUGUAAGGCUGAAAUUUCCUUCUUGGAUUGGGAUGGCUCGAUAUUCUAAUGGGUGGUUCUCCUUGACAUCGAACCAUUUUGUUGCCACAGGUCAAGUUGGGGAUCGGGGGACCAAGACCUGUGUGCCUCUUUCUCCUUAUUGUGUUUUGUCUCCGUGUCUCAUGC